rnacentral:tRNA from 1 species
GCCGGGGUGGUGGAACUGGUAGACACGCCAGACUUAAAAUCUUGUGGGCCAAAAGCCCGUACGGGUUCGAUUCCCGUCCCUGGUACCA